CCUACGGGUGGCAGCAGUGGGGGAUAUUGCACAAUGGCGGAAACCCUGAUGCAGCGACGCCGCGUGGGUGAAGAAGCGCCUCGGCGCGUAAAGCCCUUUCAGCAAGGAAGCAAAUGACGGUACCUGAGGAAGACGCCCCGGCUAACUACGUGCCAGCAGCCGCGGUAAUACGUAGGGGGCCAGCGUUAUCCGGAUUUACUGGGUGUAAAGGGGGCGCAGACGGCGAUGCAAGCCAGGAGUGAAAGCCCGGGGCCCAACCCCGGGAGUGCUGUUGGAACUGCGUGGCUAGAGUGCAGGAGGGGCAGGCGGAAUUCCUGGUGUAGCGGUGAAAUGCGGAGAUAUCAGGAGGAACACCGGUGGCGAAGGCGGCCUGCUGGACUGCAACUGACGUUGAGGCCCGAAAGCGUGGGGAGCAAACAGGAUUAGAUACCCGGGUAGUC
rnacentral:rRNA from 1 species